rnacentral:tRNA from 2 species
GGAUCGAUACCCAAGUCCGGUUUAAGGGGCUCGACUCAAGUUUCUGCGACUUGAUCCGACCAGGAUUCUUCGAGUGCGUAUGCAUCGUGGGUUCGAAUCCCACUCGAUUCA